GGGGAAUAUUGGACAAUGGGCGAAAGCCUGAUCCAGCAACGCCGCGUGAGGGAUGACUGCCCUCGGGUUGUAAACCUCUUUCAGUAGGGACGAAGCGCAAGUGACGGUACCUACAGAAGAAGCACCGGCCAACUACGUGCCAGCAGCCGCGGUAAUACGUAGGGUGCGAGCGUUGUCCGGAAUUAUUGGGCGUAAAGGGCUCGUAGGCGGUUUGUCGCGUCGGGAGUGAAAACUCAGGGCUUAACCCUGAGCCUGCUUCCGAUACGGGCAGACUAGAGGUAUGCAGGGGAGAACGGAAUUCCUGGUGUAGCGGUGAAAUGCGCAGAUAUCAGGAGGAACACCGGUGGCGAAGGCGGUUCUCUGGGCAUUACCUGACGCUGAGGAGCGAAAGUGUGGGGAGCGAAC
rnacentral:rRNA from 1 species